CUAAUACAUGCAAGUCGAACGCUUCUUUUUCCACCGGGAGCUUGCUCCACCGGAAAAAGAGGAGUGGCGAACGGGUGAGUAACACGUGGGUAACCUGCCCAUCAGAAGGGGAUAACACUUGGAAACAGGUGCUAAUACCGUAUAACAAUCGAAACCGCAUGGUUUUGAUUUGAAAGGCGCUUUCGGGUGUCGCUGAUGGAUGGACCCGCGGUGCAUUAGCUAGUUGGUGAGGUAACGGCUCACCAAGGCCACGAUGCAUAGCCGACCUGAGAGGGUGAUCGGCCACAUUGGGACUGAGACACGGCCCAAACUCCUACGGGAGGCAGCAGUAGGGAAUCUUCGGCAAUGGACGAAAGUCUGACCGAGCAACGCCGCGUGAGUGAAGAAGGUUUUCGGAUCGUAAAACUCUGUUGUUAGAGAAGAACAAGGAUGAGAGUAACUGUUCAUCCCUUGACGGUAUCUAACCAGAAAGCCACGGCUAACUACGUGCCAGCAGCCGCGGUAAUACGUAGGUGGCAAGCGUUGUCCGGAUUUAUUGGGCGUAAAGCGAGCGCAGGCGGUUUCUUAAGUCUGAUGUGAAAGCCCCCGGCUCAACCGGGGAGGGUCAUUGGAAACUGGGAGACUUGAGUGCAGAAGAGGAGAGUGGAAUUCCAUGUGUAGCGGUGAAAUGCGUAGAUAUAUGGAGGAACACCAGUGGCGAAGGCGGCUCUCUGGUCUGU
rnacentral:rRNA from 1 species